rnacentral:rRNA from 1 species
CUACGGGUUGCAGCAGUGAGGAAUAUUGCACAAUAGAGGAAACUCUGAUGCAGCAACGCCGCGUGGAGGAUGACGCAUUUCGGUGUGUAAACUCCUUUUAUAUGUCAAGAAAAUGACGGUAGCAUAUGAAUAAGCACCGGCUAACUCCGUGCCAGCAGCCGCGGUAAUACGGAGGGUGCAAGCGUUACUCGGAAUCACUGGGCGUAAAGGACGCGUAGGCGGGUUGGAAAGUCAGGUGUGAAAUCCUACAGCUUAACUGUAGAACUGCACUUGAAACUUCUAAUCUAGAGUAUGGGAGGGGGAGAUGGAAUUAGUGGUGUAGGGGUAAAAUCCGUAGAUAUCACUAGGAAUACCUAAAGCGAAGGCGAACUCCUGGAACAUUACUGACGCUAAGGCGUGAAAGCGUGGGGAGCAAACAGGAUUAGAUACCCCUGUAAUC